GGUGAGAUGGCCGAGCGGUCUAAGGCGCCAGACUAAGGUGUUGUAGAAAGUUUCUCUGAUCUUCGCUACCCUCGGUAUCUGGUCUCUUCGGGGGCGGGAGUUCGAAUCUCCCUCUCAUCA